AUUGAACGCUGGCGGCAGGCCUAACACAUGCAAGUCGAACGGUAACAGGAAGAAGCUUGCUUCUUUGCUGACGAGUGGCGGACGGGUGAGUAAUGUCUGGGAAACUGCCUGAUGGAGGGGGAUAACUACUGGAAACGGUAGCUAAUACCGCAUAACGUCGCAAGACCAAAGAGGGGGACCUUCGGGCCUCUGGCCAUCGGAUGUGCCCAGAUGGGAUUAGCUUGUUGGUGGGGUAACGGCUCACCAAGGCGACGAUCCCUAGCUGGUCUGAGAGGAUGACCAGCCACACUGGAACUGAGACACGGUCCAGACUCCUACGGGAGGCAGCAGUGGGGAAUAUUGCACAAUGGGCGCAAGCCUGAUGCAGCCAUGCCGCGUGUAUGAAGAAGGCCUUCGGGUUGUAAAGUACUUUCAGCGGGGAGGAAGGGAGUAAAGUUAAUACCUUUGCUCAUUGACGUUACCCGCAGAAGAAGCACCGGCUAACUCCGUG
rnacentral:rRNA from 1 species